UACGUAGGGUGCGAGCGUUAAUCGGAAUUACUGGGCGUAAAGCGUGCGCAGGCGGUUUGUUAAGCCAGAUGUGAAAGCCCCGGGCUCAACCUGGGAACUGCGUUUGGUACUGGCAAGCUAGAGUACGGCAGAGGGGGGUGGAAUUCCACGUGUAGCAGUGAAAUGCGUAGAGAUGUGGAGGAACACCGAUGGCGAAGGCAGCCCCCUGGGCCGAUACUGACACUGAGAGACGAAAGCUAGGGGAGCAAAUGGG
rnacentral:rRNA from 1 species